rnacentral:lncRNA from 1 species
CGACGGCCAUGCGGAAGCCACACAAGAGCGAUCCAAUGUCUCAUCUCCGCCCUCAAUCAUGGCCUCCGCUGAUGCCAAAGUAAACCCAUUCAGCUUCAGGAGGCUUUUCAGCAAACAAAGCAUAAUUUGUACGACGGAUCUGUGUGUUACAGUAGAGGAUCACGGGCAUUUGAAAUGACACAACUGGAAGCUAAAUCCAACAGCAGGGGAGACCCUUACCAAGGCGAGGUAAGUGGGCUACCCUCGGCCUCCCUUUCCCUGCUGUUGUUUUGGUAGCUGGACAGGGCUAGGGACAGGAAUAUCCUUUCCUUCUGUGGACGG